UAAUACAGAGGGGGCAAGCGUUAUUCGGAAUUAUUGGGCGUAAAGGGCGCGUAGGCGGCCUGACAAGUGGAAGGUGAAAUCCCUCGGCUUAACCGAGGAACUGCCCUCCAAACUGUUUGGCUUGAGUCCGGGAGAGGUGAGUGGAAUUCCCAGUGUAGCGGUGAAAUGCGUAGAUAUUGGGAGGAACACCAGUGGCGAAGGCGGCUCACUGGACCGGAACUGACGCUGAUGCGCGAAAGCGUGGGGAGCAAACGGGAUUAGAUACCCCGGUAGUCCACGCCGUAAACGAUGAGUGCUUGGUGUAGCGGGUAUCGACCCCUGCUGUGCCGAAGUCAACACAUUAAGCACUCCGCCUGGGGAGUACGGUCGCAAGGCUG
rnacentral:rRNA from 1 species